rnacentral:rRNA from 1 species
UACGAAGGGGGCUAGCGUUGCUCGGAAUCACUGGGCGUAAGGUGCGUAGGCGGGUCUUUAAGUCAGGGGUGAAAUCCUGGAGCUCAACUCCAGAACUGCCUUUGAUACUGAGGAUCUUGAGUUCGGGAGAGGUGAGUGGAACUGCGAGUGUAGAGGUGAAAUUCGUAGAUAUUCGCAAGAACACCAGUGGCGAAGGCGGCUCACUGGCCCGAUACUGACGCUGAGGCACGAAAGCGUGGGGAGCAAACAGG